rnacentral:rRNA from 1 species
UACGAAGGGGGCUAGCGUUGCUCGGAAUCACUGGGCGUAAAGGGUGCGUAGGCGGGUCUUAAGUCAGGGGUGAAAUCCUGGAGCUCAACUCCAGAACUGCCUUUGAUACUGAAAAUCUUGAGUAUGGGAGAGGUGAGUGGAACUGCGAGUGUAGAGGUGAAAUCGUAGAUAUUCGCAAGAACACCAGUGGCGAAGGCGGCUCACUGGCCCAUAACUGACGCUGAGGCACGAAAGCGUGGGGAGCAACAGG